AUACAUUUUUACUUUCCUUUUGGAGAGAGCCAGAUAUAUAUUCUGAAUUUCUGAUGCAAAAACAAAAAGCUAAUGCUGAACCACCACCACCUGGAGAGCUGUCAAAGUAUGAGCAUAGGAACUUCAUUGUCUCAUCAGAUUCUCAUCCACUGAUGUUAUGGAUUUGAGCAAAGAAAUCAACGGAAGAUGCCAGAUAAAUUGCGGUUCUAGCCAGCGGUUUUUUCAAGCAAACUUCUUUCCUAGAGCCAGUGCCGCAUUCAGAGUCGUAUGUUAGCAAAUCAGUAAAGCUCUGAUGUCGCCUAGCUUUGGGAUGGGUGAUGAGGUUAAACAGCAAAUGUGGGAGUUCAGGAGGAAGGACAAUGACAAUGAUUCUUCAAGUGACGAUUCUAAAUCAAGUAGUGAGGCGGCUCACGAGAAGCGUAAACUGGUUUCCGGUUUGAUUUCACUUGCAAAUGAUGCAGCAGUCGAUAACUGCAGAGCUCAGCAAACUGGCAUGUUCAUUCCUUGUGGGGAAGAUCAAAACAUGUCAAAGAAAGGCAGCACCUUAGGAGUAAGAAGAAUAGUAGAAAAAAGAGUAAAACUGGCGUUUACAAUUCUGCUGCUGCUUUG
rnacentral:sRNA from 1 species